AGGACAGUAGUUAAACAUAACAUUUGGGUUGCAUCUAAAAAGUGUUGAAGUAUUCAACCUGUCUUA
rnacentral:tRNA from 1 species